rnacentral:rRNA from 1 species
CCCGGGCCUUGUACACACCGCCCGUCACACCACGAAAGUCCGCUGUACCAGAAAUCGCCGGAGCUAACCCGUAAGGGAGGCAGGCGCCCAAGGUAUGGUUGGUAAUUGGGGUG